UUAGGUUCUACAACCAAGAUUGUAUUUCUUCUUUUUGGACAUCCUUUUUAACCCAUACUGUGCUUCAAUUUUUAACGUGAACAAGAUCAACUUUACUGUCUUAUACUCACCGAGAUACUCGAACAUGUUGAGUAUAUUGGUCCAUUUCAAAGACAAACAU
rnacentral:snoRNA from 1 species